UACGUAGGGGGCAAGCGUUAAUCGGAAUUACUGGGCGUAAAGCGUGCGCAGGCGGUUUUGUAAGUCUGGCGUGAAAUCCCCGGGCUUAACCUGGGAAUGGCGAUGGAGACUGCAAGGCUAGAGUUUGGCAGAGGGGGGUAGAAUUCCACGUGUAGCAGUGAAAUGCGUAGAGAUGUGGAGGAACACCGAUGGCGAAGGCAGCCCCCUGGGUCAAAACUGACGCUCAUGCACGAAAGCGUGGGGAGCAAACAGG
rnacentral:rRNA from 1 species